UACGUAGGUGGCGAGCGUUGUCCGGAUUUACUGGGCGUAAAGAGCGCGCAGGCGGUCGUGCAAGUCGCGUGUGAAAGCCCCCGGCUCAACUGGGGAGGGUCACGCGAUACUGCUCGACUUGAAGGCAGGAGAGGGAAGUGGAAUUCCAGGUGUAGCGGUGAAAUGCGUAGAUAUCUGGAGGAACACCGGUGGCGAAGGCGGCAUCCUGGACCAAUUCUGACGCUGAGGAGCGAAAGCCAGGGGAGCAAACGGG
rnacentral:rRNA from 1 species